rnacentral:tRNA from 1 species
GGUCCGGUAGAUCAACUGGUUAGAUCGCGUCCCUGUCACGGACGAGGUUGCGGGUUCAAGUCCCGUCCGGACCGCCA